GAUGAACGCUGGCGGCGUGCCUAAUACAUGCAAGUCGAGCGAACAGACGAGGAGCUUGCUCCUCUGACGUUAGCGGCGGACGGGUGAGUAACACGUGGAUAACCUACCUAUAAGACUGGGAUAACUUCGGGAAACCGGAGCUAAUACCGGAUAAUAUAUUGAACCGCAUGGUUCAAUAGUGAAAGACGGUUUUGCUGUCAUUUAUAGAUGGAUCCGCGCCGCAUUAGCUAGUUGGUAAGGUAACGGCUUACCAAGGCAACGAUGCGUAGCCGACCUGAGAGGGUGAUCGGCCACACUGGAACUGAGACACGGUCCAGACUCCUACGGGAGGCAGCAGUAGGGAAUCUUCCGCAAUGGGCGAAAGCCUGACGGAGCGACGCCGCGUGAGUGAUGAAGGUCUUCGGAUCGUAAAACUCUGUUAUUAGGGAAGAACAAAUGUGUAAGUAACUAUGCACGUCUUGACGGUACCUAAUCAGAAAGCCACGGCUAACUACGUG
rnacentral:rRNA from 1 species